rnacentral:rRNA from 1 species
CCUACGGGAGGCAGCAGUGGGGAAUUUUGGACAAUGGGCGAAAGCCUGAUCCAGCAAUGCCGCGUGAGUGAAGAAGGCCUUCGGGUUGUAAAGCUCUUUUGUCAGGGAAGAAACGGUAUGGGCUAAUAUCCCGUGCUAAUGACGGUACCUGAAGAAUAAGCACCGGCUAACUACGUGCCAGCAGCCGCGGUAAUACGUAGGGUGCAAGCGUUAAUCGGAAUUACUGGGCGUAAAGCGUGCGCAGGCGGUUUUGUAAGUCUGUCGUGAAAUCCCCGGGCUCAACCUGGGAAUUGCGAUGGAGACUGCAAGGCUAGAAUCUGGCAGAGGGGGGUAGAAUUCCACGUGUAGCAGUGAAAUGCGUAGAGAUGUGGAGGAACACCGAUGGCGAAGGCAGCCCCCUGGGUCAAGAUUGACGCUCAUGCACGAAAGCGUGGGGAGCAAACAGGAUUAGAUACCCUGGUAGUCCACGCCCUAAACGAUGUCUACUAGUUGUCGGGUUUUAAUUAACUUGGUAACGCAGCUAACGCGUGAAGUAGACCGCCUGGGGAGUACGGUCGCAAGAUUAAAACUCAAAGGAUUGACGGCUGAGACGNGCGAGACGACGACGAGGGAGGAGG